UACGUAGGUGGCAAGCGUUGUCCGGAUUUAUUGGGUUUAAAGGGUGCGUAGGCGGCCAUUUAAGUCAGAGGUGAAAGACGGUAGCUCAACUAUCGCAGUGCCUUUGAUACUGAGUGGCUUGAAUGAACUAGAGGUAGGCGGAAUGAGACAAGUAGCGGUGAAAUGCAUAGAUAUGUCUCAGAACACCGAUUGCGAAGGCAGCUUACUAUGGUUUAAUUGACGCUGAGGCACGAAAGCGUGGGGAUCAAACAGG
rnacentral:rRNA from 1 species